CUUGCGACCAUACUACGUUGAAACAUUGGUUCUCGCUCGAUCACCGAAGAUAAGCAACGUUGAAUCUAGUCAGUACCUAGAUGGGUGAGCACUGGGAAAUAUCAGGUGCU